rnacentral:rRNA from 1 species
CGUCAGCUCGUGUCGUGAGAUGUUGGGUUAAGUCCCGCAACGAGCGCAACCCCUAUUGUUAGUUGCUACGCAAGAGCACUCUAGCGAGACUGCGUUGACAAAACGGAGGAAGGUGGGGACGACGUCAAAUCAUCAUGCCCCUUAUGUCCUGGGCUACACACGUAAUACAAUGGCGGUCAACAGAGGGAUGCAAAAUCGCAAGAUGGAGCGAACCCCUAAAAGCCGUCCCAGUUCAGAUUGUGGGCUGCAACCCGCCCACA